AGCGAACGCUGGCGGCAGGCUUAACACAUGCAAGUCGAGCGGGCACUCCGGUGUCAGCGGCAGACGGGUGAGUAACACGUGGGAACGUACCCUUCGGUUCGGAAUAACGCUGGGAAACUAGCGCUAAUACCGGAUACGCCCUUUUGGGGAAAGGUUUACUGCCGAAGGAUCGGCCCGCGUCUGAUUAGCUAGUUGGUGGGGUAAUGGCCUACCAAGGCGACGAUCAGUAGCUGGUCUGAGAGGAUGAUCAGCCACACUGGGACUGAGACACGGCCCAGACUCCUACGGGAGGCAGCAGUGGGGAAUAUUGGACAAUGGGCGCAAGCCUGAUCCAGCCAUGCCGCGUGAGUGAUGAAGGCCUUAGGGUUGUAAAGCUCUUUUGUCCGGGACGAUAAUGACGGUACCGGAAGAAUAAGCCCCGGCUAACUUCGUG
rnacentral:rRNA from 1 species